rnacentral:rRNA from 1 species
AUUGAACGCUGGCGGCAGGCCUAACACAUGCAAGUCGCACGGAGUGGCGGACGGGUGAGUAAUGUCUGGGAAACUGCCUGAUGGAGGGGGCUAACUACUGGAAACGGUAGCUACUACCGCAUACUAUCAGAUGAGCCUCGGUCGGAUUAGCUAGUUGGUGGGGUAAAGGCCUACCAAGGCGACGAUCCGUACCUGGUCGGAGAGGAUGAUCAGUCACACUGGAACUGAGACACGGUCCAGGCUCCUACGGGAGGCAGCAGUGGGGAAUAGUGGACAAUGGGCGAAAGCCUGAUCCAGCCAUGCCGCGUGUGUGAAGAAGGUCUUCGGAUUGUAAAGCACUUUAAGUUGGGAGGCGUUACCAACAGAAUAAGCACCGGCUAACUUCGUGCCAGCAGCCGCGGUAAUUC